CGAACGAAAGUUUUUAACUUUAGUGGCGGACGGGUGAGUAACACGUGAGAAUCUGCCCUUAGGAGGAGGAUAACAGCUGGAAACGGUUGCUAAUACUCCAUAUGCCGAGAGGUGAAAGGAUUUAUCCACCUAAGGAGGAGCUCGCGUCUGAUUAGCUAGUUGGUAGGGUAAUAGCCUACCAAGGCGACGAUCAGUAGCUGGUUUGAGAGGAUGAUCAGCCACACUGGGACUGAGACACGGCCCAGACUCC
rnacentral:rRNA from 1 species